UUGUGGAGGAGGACGCCGAGGGUGGGGCUAAUGACUGGGGUGAAGUCGUAACAAGGUAGCCGUACCGGAAGGUGCGGCUGGAUCACCUCCUAACAGGGAGACAACAAAAUGUAAAUAUUAAUUUUGUCACCUUAGGUCGAUCGGUAUCUCAGAUUCUUAUUUUUUAAGAAUUUCAGUUUCUAAGUUUUUUCUAGGUCACACCCAUCACUUUUUCCUGGGCCAUUAGCUCAGGAGGUUAGAGCGCACCCCUGAUAAGGGUGAGGUCCCUGGUUCAAGUCCAGGAUGGCCCAUAUCUCUAUGUUGGGGGUAUAGCUCAGUUGGUAGAGCGCCUGCUUUGCAAGCAGGAUGUCAGCGGUUCGAGUCCGCUUACCUCCACUGAAUACCACCUCUUACAUAUAUUUAAAGAGGGAAAUUGUUUUGAGUCGUGUCCUAAUUUGCUCUGAGCGAAUCUAGCUUCCAAUUUUAUUCAAUAAAUAAGAUGCUGGACUCAUUGAAUUUUUUUUUUCAUUGUUUUCAGAGAACCUUGACAACUGCAUAGAUUAUUUUUGAAGACAAUAAGCAUCUUUAAUGAUGCAGAUUUAUUAUUUGUGCGAAUGCAUUAAAUAACAAUCCUAUUAAGCUGAUGCUUCAAUUAUUGAAGUUAUUGGUCAAGCUACAA
rnacentral:misc_RNA from 1 species